GGAGAGGUCGCAUAGUGGCCUAGUGCGCCGCCUUGGAAAGGCGGUAUACCGAAAGGUAUCGAGGGUUCAAAUCCCUCCCUCUCCG
rnacentral:tRNA from 1 species